ACGAACGCUGGCGGCGUGCCUAACACAUGCAAGUCGAGCGAGAAAAGGGGAGCAAUCCCCUGAGUACAGCGGCGCACGGGUGAGUAACACGUAGGUGAUCUCCCCUCGAGCCCGGAAUAACCUACCGAAAGGUGGGCUAAUACCGGAUAUGACCACGGGAGUUUCGGCUCCUGCGGUGAAAGAUGGCCUCUACCUGUAAGCUAUCACUCAAGGAUGAGCCUGCGUGCCAUUAGCUAGUUGGUGAGGUAACGGCUCACCAAGGCUAUGAUGGCUAGCUGGUCUGAGAGGAUGGCCAGCCACACUGGGACUGAACACGGCCCAGACUCCUACGGGAGGCAGCAGUGGGGAUAUUGCGCAAUGGGCGAAAGCCUGACGCAGCGACGCCGCAU
rnacentral:rRNA from 1 species